rfam:Apaloderma vittatum contig64296, whole genome shotgun sequence.
GGCCGGUUAGCUCAGUCAGUUGAGCAUAGCACUAACAAUGCUAAGGUCGUGGGUUCGAUUCCCGUUUGGUCCA